rnacentral:lncRNA from 1 species
CGCAGCCCUCAACGCUCUUCUGCCUCGGCCUUCAUCCAGUACCUUGCCCGGCGCCCGUCCAGGCUCCUGCCGCGCCGUCCCCCGCACCUCAGCCCCCGGGCCCGUCGCAGCCAUGAACUAACGGCUCCGCACGUAGCAAGCAAGCAACUCGAUCAGCUCGCACCGCCCACCGCCACCGAGAAGACGUCGCGAGCCCGCUAGAGCGCCUCUUCUAGAGGGACGCCGCCGCCGUAACCAGCGAGAGGGCGCGAGGGGCGGAGCCAGGCGUGCCUAGAGCGGCCGCCGGCGCGGCCGCCAUCUUAGGAAGGGCGGGAGGGCCGGGGAGGGCCGGGGAGGGCCGGGGAGGCCUACGGGCCUCGGGAGGAGGCCGAGCCCUGACCGGUGGGCCUUGCGGGCAGAGGCCGGAGAGAUGAGACGGGCCUGGGAUGGGCAAGGCAUGAUGUCAACAGGAGAGUUGGGUCAGACGCAGCGCUGGGAGAAGAUUGUUUAUGGAGGAGAAAUAAAUGGAGGAGAAGGAUUUAAGAUUAAGAAGAAGAAGGAGUUGUGCUGAAGAAGAUAUGGAGGUGUGAAGACAACAGGGACAUUUGUGGCAGUGGCAGGUAUUCAGGCACAGAAGACAAGCCCUCGAGGGGCAGGAGAGGUCUGUGGAAUCAGAGAGGAUAGACUAGAGUGGGGAUGUCAAGCAGAACUCUGGAACCUCCCCUGUGAAACUGGGAGACUGAAUGGCAGCGAGGCCUAGCUGGAUGGCAGGAGCCCCCAGAGGGGAGUGGUAGCCAUGACCCUGCCCUUCCUCAAACAUGGCACCAGACCUAGAUGUUGUUGGCUACUCAAGAAAAAAUUCUUCCUGAAGAAUAAUAUGCAUUUCCCAGGUCACUAUUUCAUAAGGGGCCCCAGCAAUGCUCACUUUGAUGCUGUAUGGAUUCACUCUUCAGACUUCACCACCUCUUCAGCAACCUCUUUAUCUAUGAGCAAGUACCUCACCCGUCUUCUGGCUCAUUAUAUGUUGUCUUCCCCUAAUAGAAUAUUAGCUCCUUGAGGGCAGCAACUAUUUGUUUGUAUUGGUGCUGCCAGAGUUUAGGACAGUACCCCACAUAUACUAAGUGCUUGAUAUGUAUCUAUGUAUCUAUCACCAUUCUGUUAUAACGUAUAAUGCUAUUAUAUUAUCCCCACGAUGCUUCUAUAUAUGGUAGUCCAGCAAGUCCAUGCCCAUGAUAACUGAAUAAAUGAAAUGUACUCUUCA